UAUGGUUAAUAAUACAAGUGUUGCAGAUACGUACACAUAGGUCCCAGGCUGACAGCAUUACUGGCAGAGGCCAGUUCUGGAGACAGUAUUGUGUCAGAUAAUAUUGCCUGCUUGAGUCCCUGGGCACAGCUGGGCCUGCCAAAGUCAACAGUUCUUCUGGUAUGUGCUAAUGUUUUCCAUAACAAGAUGCAGCAGUUAUCUUCUCUCCCUCCAACGGCCAUUUUGGUGGAAUAUGGCUUUCAGGCUGAUUAUGACUUUUCUCGAGGUGUUCAACUUGCGGUAGAGACUGGGCGACCAUUGGCAGUGUGUCCUGGUACUGCAGCUUGGAGCAGUUUAAGUGGGUGGCCAGAGGCUGGGGUGAGCAAUGUGUACAGUGGUGUGGUGGGAGGUGUGGAUGGUGGGGCAGGUGGUGUAGUUGUUGCCAUUGGUCCAGUAGUGCUG